rnacentral:rRNA from 1 species
GAUGAACGCUGGCGGCGUGCCUAAUACAUGCAAGUCGAGCGAACAGACGAGGAGUUUGCUCCUCUGACGUUAGCGGCGGACGGGUGAGUAACACGUGGAUAACCUACCUAUAAGACUGGGAUAACUUCGGGAAACCGGAGCUAAUACCGGAUAAUAUAUUGAACCGCAUGGUUCAAUAGUGAAAGACGGGUUUGCUGUCACUUAUAGAUGGAUCCGCGCCGCAUUAGCUAGUUGGGAAGGUAACGGCUUACCAAGGCAACGAUGCGUAGCCGACCUGAGAGGGUGAUCGGCCACACUGGAACUGAGACACGGUCCAGACUCCUACGGGAGGCAGCAGUAGGGAAUCUUCCGCAAUGGGCGAAAGCCUGACGGAGCAACGCCGCGUGAGUGAUGAAGGUCUUCGGAUCGUAAAACUCUGUUAUUAGGGAAGAACAAAUGUGUAAGUAACUAUGCACGUCUUGACGGUACCUAAUCAGAAAGCCACGGCUAACUACGUG